GGUGGCCUCCCGACCACUGUUGUGCACACUCCCCCUACCCCCCAUUCAUCUUGAUGCUUCUGUAUUGGUUACUGACACAUGGUCUGGUUUUGGGUUUGAAGGGCAAGGGUGGCUUGUGAGCACACCCAGCCGUCAGGCCUGCUCCUGUCAUCUCUGUAUCUCCCUGCCUCCCAGCCCCGUGGGUUUGGAAUCUGACUGGGUGAAGGCGCCACAGGUGUGCUUUUGAAAACAGCAAGGCGUAGCUUGCAAACAAUUAUCUUGGGAAACUGUUUAGCCAUGUAUCCGUUAUCCAGAACGCUGUCAGAGUUUCCUUCAGACUUGGUACCAUGUUGGGAACACCGUCAAGUGAGUGUGUACCGUUCUCAAUUCCGUGGUGCGAGUCCAGGAGUACUGUCUGAGGCCAGCCGAAGUCUCAGGUAUAAAGCCGAAGGGCUCUCUGGUAACGUAGGCUUGCAUCAAUGAUAAGGCUUUUAACCUGGCCCUGAAAGCAAUGUUGCUACUUCUGACAGUGCUUUGAGCAAUGGCUGCCUUGUCAUAGUGACUGUAUAGCUUGACACCUUAGAGGACCCUGUGAAAUUAGAUACGGAAACUGAUUUGGUGGAAGAAAUCUGUUAUGUUACUUUCUGGUCACCCCAGGUUCUGAUUUUACCAGGGGCAAAAAACCAAAACAAAACAAAAACAACAACAAAAAACCCCAAAACACAAAAC